UACGGAGGAUGCGAGCGUUAUCCGGAUUUAUUGUGUCUAAAGGGUGCGCAGGCGGAUUUUUAAGUCAGCGGUCAAAUCGUGGGGCUCAACCCCAUCCAGCCGUUGAAACUGGGGAUCUAGAGUGUGCGAGAGGUAUGCGGAAUGCGUGGUGUAGCGGUGAAAUGCAUAGAUAUCACGCAGAACUCCGAUUGCGAAGGCAGCGUACCGGCGCCCAACUGACGCUGAAGCACGAAGGCGUGGGUAUCGAACAGG
rnacentral:rRNA from 1 species